AGUGAACGCUGGCGGUAGGCCUAACACAUACAAGUCGAACGGCAGCACAGGAGAGCUCGCUCUCUGGGUGGCGAGUGGCGGACGGGUGAGGAAUACAUCGGAAUCUACUUUUUCGUGGGGGAUAACGUAGGGAAACUUACGCUAAUACCGCAUACGACCUACGGGUGAAAGCAGGGGAUCUUCGGACCUUGCGCGAUUGAAUGAGCCGAUGUCGGAUUAGCUAGUUGGCGGGGUAAAGGCCCACCAAGGCGACGAUCCGUAGCUGGUCUGAGAGGAUGAUCAGCCCCACUGGAACUGAGACACGGGCCAGACUCCUACGGGAGGCAGCAGUGGGGAAUAUUGGACAAUGGGCGCAAGCCUGAUCCAGCCAUACCGCGUGGGUGAAGAAGGCCUUCGGGUUGUAGAGCCCUUUUGUUGGGAAAGAAAUCCAGCUGGUUAAUACCCGGUUGGGAUGACGGUACCCAAAGAAUAAGCACCGGCUAACUUCGUGCCAGCCGCCGCCGUAA
rnacentral:rRNA from 1 species